rnacentral:rRNA from 1 species
GAUGAACGCUAGCGAUAGGCUUAACACAUGCAAGUCGAGGGGCAGCAUUAUUUUAGCUUGCUAAGAUAGAUGGCGACCGGCGCACGGGUGCGUAACGCGUAUGCAACCUGCCUGUAAUUAGGGAAUAACCCGGUGAAAGUCGGACUAAUACCCUAUAUUCUUCUUUCUCCGCAUGGGGGAGGAUGGAAAGAUUUAUUGAUUACAGAUGGGCAUGCGUCCCAUUAGCUCGUUGGUAAGGUAACGGCUUACCAAGGCAACGAUGGGUAGGGGGACUGAGAGGUUGACCCCCCACACUGGUACUGAGACACGGACCAGACUCCUACGGGAGGCAGCAGUGAGGAAUAUUGGUCAAUGGGCGAGAGCCUGAACCAGCCAAGUCGCGUGAAGGACGACGGUUCUAUGGAUUGCAAACUUCUUUUGUAGAGGAAUAAUGGCAGCUACGUGUAGCUGAGAUGCAUGUA